rnacentral:rRNA from 1 species
UACGUAGGGGGCAAGCGUUGUCCGGAUUUAUUGGGCGUAAAGAGCGUGUAGGCGGCCAUACAGGUCAGCUGUGAAAACUCGAGGCUCAACCUCGAGACGUCGGUUGAAACCGUAUGGCUAGAGUCCGGAAGAGGAGAGUGGAAUUCCCGGUGUAGCGGUGAAAUGCGCAGAUAUCGGGAAGAACACCCGUGGCCGAAGGCGG